rnacentral:rRNA from 1 species
UACAGAGGCCCCAAGCGUUACUGAGAAUCACUGGGUUUAAAGGGUGCGUAGGUGGCGCGUUAAGUCCGUUGUGAAAUCCCUUGGCUCAACCAAGGAAAUGCUUCGGAUACUGGCGUGCUUGAGGCUAGUAGGGGUCACUGGAACUGACGGUGGAGCGGUGAAAUGCGUAGAUAUCGUCAGGAACGCCGAUGGUGAAGGCAGGUGACUGGGCUAGUUCUGACACUGAGGCACGAAAGCGUGGGGAGCGAACGGG